rnacentral:rRNA from 1 species
UACAGAGGUCUCAAGCGUUGUUCGGAUUCAUUGGGCGUAAAGGGUGCGUAGGUGGCGUCGUAAGUCGGGUGUGAAAUUUCGGAGCUUAACUCCGAAACUGCAUUCGAUACUGCGGUGCUCGAGGACUGGAGAGGAGACUGGAAUUUACGGUGUAGCAGUGAAAUGCGUAGAGAUCGUAAGGAACACCAGUGGCGAAGGCGGCUCACUGGUCCGGUACUGACGCUGAGGUGCGAAAGCGUGGGGAGCAAACAGG